CCUACGGGGGGCAGCAGUGAGGAAUAUUGGUCAAUGGGCGGGAGCCUGAACCAGCCAAGUCGCGCGAGGGAAGACGGUCCUACGGAUUGUAAACCUCUUUUGCCGGGGAGCAACGGGGUCCUUGCGAGGGCCCGAUGAGAGUACCCGGAGAAAAAGCAUCGGCUAACUCCGUGCCAGCAGCCGCGGUAAUACGGAGGAUGCGAGCGUUAUCCGGAUUUAUUGGGUUUAAAGGGUGCGUAGGCGGUCGGAUAAGUUAGAGGUGAAAUCCCGAGGCUCAACUUCGGAAUUGCCUCUGAUACUGUUCG
rnacentral:rRNA from 1 species